GAUGAAGAACGCAGCGAAAUGCGAUAAGUAAUGUGAAUUGCAGAAUUCAGUGAAUCAUCGAACCUUUGAACGCACAUUGCGCCCCUUGGUAUUCCGAGGGGCAUGCCUGUUCGAGCGUCAUUAUAACCCCUCAAGCUCAGCUUGGUGUUGGGGCCUGCUGCACUGGCAGCCCUUAAAAUCAGUGGCGGCGCCAUCUGGCUCUAAGCGUAGUAAUUCUUCUCGCUAUGGAGUCCUGGUGGAUGCUUGCCAUCAACCCCCAAUUUUUCUAUGGUUGACCUCGGAUCAGGUAGGGAUACCCGCUGAACUUAAGCAUAUCAAUAAGCGGAGGA
rnacentral:misc_RNA from 1 species